UACGUAGGGUGCGAGCGUUGUCCGGAAUCAUUGGGCGUAAAGAGCUCGUAGGCGGUCUGUCGCGUCGGCUGUGAAAUCCCGAGGCUCAACCUCGGGUCUGCAGUCGAUACGGGCAAACUAGAGUAUUGCAGGGGAGACUGGAAUUCCUGGUGUAGCGGUGAAAUGCGCAGAUAUCAGGAGGAACACCGGUGGCGAAGGCGGGUCUCUGGGCAAUAACUGACGCUGGAGGAGCGAAAGCGUGGGGAGCGAACAGG
rnacentral:rRNA from 1 species